GGGCUGAGCUUUGCUCCCUCUUGUAGCUGGUAGGGUUAUCUUGUGCCAGUAUGUGAUGCGACUGGUGCUGCAGUGUGGUGGUUCCUGUCACGCUUCAAACCUUCUCUGAGAGCCAUCAUGGUAACAAUGAACAAAGUGCUGCUUCUGGGCUGUGGACCUGGGUGAUUUUGAGUAACUAGCUUUCCAUCUUCCUGAAGCCAGACCACCUUCAGAGGUGUUUGCAGUGCUGUUGAUGUGUUACUGCUGCUAUUUAACCUGGCUACAUGGGGACAGGAGGUGGCUGACAUAAAGCUGAGGGAGGGAAGGAAUAUUUCCAUAAAGGGAAACAGACAAGCAUAAAAGGGGUUAAUGUGGAUGUCUAAGCAGGAAGACUGGAAGUAUCCUACUAGAGCAGUCAACAGAUCUAGUAGAACUCCAGUGCAAAAGUCCACAAGCUGCAAAUCUAGGAGGAAGGUGAAGAUUAUGAAGAUGUGUGAAAUGGACAGCUAAUUUCUUACAGUUAUCCAUGAUGCUUUCAAGGGAAAAUAUUGUAAAUUAAUUUAUGAUUCAUUAUAUACAUAGGAUUAAUUUAUUAAUUCCUUAUUUGUAAUUAACUAAAAAAAUACAUAAAGUAGAAAUCUUCCAAUGCAAAAUUAUAUUUACAUGGAGGCAGAAGGCUGUUGAUAUUAAGCAGUAGUAAGCUUGCCAUCUUGGGUUGAGUAUCAGUAUCAGCUAUAACUGAAUUUCUUGUUCAUGGCUUGCUGAUUAUCAGAAUAUAAAUUAGGAGAAGAAAAGAUUGGUAAUGUAGGGUUGCUACAAUCUCCUGUAGCCAAGGAAAAGUCCGGAGACUGUAGAAAGCUGGGAAAGACAGAGGAGCUCUUGAGUCAUAGUGUACAUUAAGGAAGACUUGCCAUUAAGUGAGGUACCCCAAAAUUUGGAAGGGUACAGUAGAAUUUUCUGCCUGCCUCCUGCAUCCCUCCCACCACAGAUCAUGGACCACUCCCUGCCCACAGUGCUUUAAUUGCAAACUAACUUCAGAUCUAUAGAAUGGAGGACAAAACCUGCAACAACUCUGAGGUGCCACAAGAACAGGAUGUGAGUGAUUAAGAGCAUCCCUGGUGUCCCAGGUCAUGGCUGCAGUAGGGAACUUUUUAUUAUAAAACCCUGAGAUUAUUCUAAGAAACAGACUGUAACCCACCUCACUGUGAAGCCCAAAUAUAUUGCUCUGUGUGGUGAUGCUGUGAUGUCUGACAAGACACACUGACUCCCAGGAGGUUGGGAAGAAGUACGAAGUAGUUUGCUGAGAUUGUAAUGGGCACCAGGUCUGCUGGCUGUGGGGGAUUCAUGGUGGUGAGGAGGUGGGGAUACAGACCAACCAGCUCAUCAGAUGAAGACAGAUGCCCAUAUUCCUCUCUUUAGUCUUAUCUGGGAUCUGGUUGGGUUGUCCCAUCUGAGAAGCAUUAAUUUGGAAAGCUGAGCUGUGACGGCUAACCUCAGCAACAGCAAAUACCCCUGCAUUUGGGGUGGAUAUAGGGCCAAGAGACUCACUCUGCUCCCAGCACAGUGCUUUGCAAAGCUCCUGCUGCUGCUGUCAGCUGCUGUCUUACAGCAGCAGAAUGAGCUUUUGGGAAUCCUGACCUACCUCUGCCACCCAGUUCAUCUUCUAAGACCACAGGCCCCCCUUUUUUUUCACUGUGCACCUGUCUCCUCACAGCCUCAGCUCAUCUCUUCCUGCCAGUUAGAGUAUUUAAUAACAUGGCUAUUUAGUGAUUAAAAAUCAUAGUGGGAAAUUGGCACUGUCCCUCUGUUAACCCUUAAAACUCUGGCAUUUAUCUCGCUUCCAGCUAUCCGUGAAGGGAAAGACUAAGAGCAGGAUCGAGCAGGCAAAAAAGAUGGCCAGUGCCUAGCUCCUGAUGUAUUGUCACUUUGUGGUGAAUGGAGAAUCCAUGCCGUCUGGUGGACAUGGUGGCCAAAGCCCAAAUUCCCCGGGUCCACAUCAUGUGGAGGCGAAUGGAUGAAGAAUCAGAGGAACCUAGGGUUUGAAUUUUCACCAGGGCCUGUUUGCUGCUCCCAUCGACAGUGCCCCAAGUGCUAAUUAUAAUUUCCUUAUUCUGCUUUGGUCAGGGCAUAUGACAAAGUGGGGUGAAAGCCAAAAAUAAGCAGCCCUAAGAAUAGCCCUCUCCACAUCUUCCUACUAAUGGCAUCUCUGAAGAAGACUGCUUGUUCCCCUUCAGAUGAGCUUUCAGAGGCUAUUUUAAUCCAUUUUUAGUGGCAAACAGCAUUUAUCAGAAUAAGUGUGGGCUGGUCGCCAGCUCCUUCAGAUCUUUGACAGCCUGGAGGGGAAAGUCUCUGAAAAAUAACUGAGUGUGCUUCUACUGCAUGUUACCCUGCCCAGGGGAUUUUGGGGACAUAAUAAGGAAACAUUCAUCUGAUGGAGCAGAGCCUAGGAACCAGUGCUUUGCUAAAACCAGCUAAAACCUGUCAUCAACUCUUGAUCCCUGGAAUCAGAGCUCUUGUUCUUGUCAUCAGUGUGGAUGUUUACAGAUUCAAUUUAGCAAUCAUUAGGAGGCAAGAAGCAAGGUUGGCAAAAAGGUUAGAGAGGUACUCAUUUCUGAGUCACUGCUCAGAACAUGACCCCGGCUAAUUGUGUUCAAAAUUCAUCACUGACAGUCAUCUCAUGGCCACUCGGUGGUCUCCAGUGGGUUUAUGAUCUUUGCCAAGUUCAUAAACUCUUCAAAGUUAUAUUUUAGAAAAUACCAUAUUGAACACUAAUUGGCAUUCCCAGGGAAGUAAACCUGGAAUAGGCUGUGAAGAUUAAAUUCUCCCUUUCCCUGAAAGAAUUUUGAUACCAGGCAGUACCUUAGGAUCUUGCCCUACUGUUCUAUCUCAGUGGCCUGUCUGGGUCUCUGGGGCUGUCAUUUUUACCAGUUCUAAAUCAAUUUUAACAUAUCUUAGGAAUAAUCGGGGGGGGAGGGAGGGUGUUAGUGCUUGACUUCCCUGGGAAAGGGGAUGACAGGCAAGGGAGAAAGAGCCAACAGAAGGGGAGACGGUAACAUGAGAGAUCUUGGGGCUUGACAGAGGUUGCCAUAGGAGAAAUUUAGGAAAAUAUUGCUACAUUUGUGUGUAUUGCUGCCCUCAUUUGACAGAGUGACUUCGAAUACCACUUGAUCUGGUUUUAAUCUAUUGAUACCUUUGUAUUCAAAACCAGGCAUCUGAAAUGUAGAACGGAAGAGGUUCAUGAGCAGUACUAUGAAGAAAGUCUGUUGAGUAUGUGAUACUUGGUGCAAUUUUGGAUCCAUGAUCCUGGGCCCAAGUCAACAUAACAAUGAUAAAUUUUUUGCUAUGCUGUGGAAACAUGUUGCAUUUCCUCAAGAAUACAAUGGUACGUAUUCAUUUUUCUCUCUCUCCUGACCUGAGACAUGUUUUACGAUGUGUCAAAUACAUGUCCUGUGUUUUGACAGUCACAAUAAACAUGUCAGGAUGAUAUAGGAAUUUUCACAA